rnacentral:rRNA from 1 species
UACGUAGGGUGCAAGCGUUGUCCGGAAUUAUUGGGCGUAAAGAGCUCGUAGGCGGCUUGUCACGUCGGAUGUGAAAAUCCAGGGCUCAACCCUGGCCUGCAUUCGAUACGGGCAGGCUAGAAUUCGGGUAGGGGAGACGUGGAAUUCCUGGUGGUAGCGGUGAAAAUGCGCAGAUAUCAGGAGGAACACCGGUGGCGAAGGCGGGUCUCUGGGCCGAUACUGACGCUGAGGAGCGAAAGCGUGGGGGAGCGAACAGG